GAGUUUGAGUUGUGUGCACUGUGCACAGCGUUUGAAGCUGCGCGGGUGCGGGGUGAAUCAUCGUCAUCCAAACAAGGUACUAUCGAUCGCUUAAGAUGUGGAUGAAAAUGGCAAAAAAAAACAAUACUCUCUAGUUACAAUUUCUUCCUGACAGUGUCAUACCGUCACAAGACCCUCUUCCGAAGCCUAUCUCCCACUUCACCUAGCCUUUAAAUUUGGCCCCUAUGGUGGUGAUCUCAAUUGCAAAAAGGAACUUCGAGCACCACAUAGGAAAUAACCAUGGAAACUAUGUGUCUUUGACACCCAUCACUAUCCAAUUUGAGAUCUUAAGUUUGUGUUGAUGCAA